GCAGUCAAGAAUGAAGACUGGCACACCCAUACACCCAGAUUCUGAAGAAAAGGUGAUGUCAAGAAUUGAUUCCUCCUGUAGCAUCCUGUGGGCAAUUUUGAGAGCAUCACUCUUGCUGAGCAUGCAGACACACCGCUGGGUCACCAGGAAGUCUGGAUUUAGAAGCCCGCU